GGUUGGUGGAGUGAUUUGUCUGCUUAAUUGCGAUAACGAACGAGAUCUCUGCCAAUAAAUAGAUGCCCCUUCCGCUUGUACACGCUGAUCCCUGUGGCUUGCUGCGGGGUUCAUCAGAGUGGAGGAGGAGGACUUUUUACUUAUUGGGAUUAUGCAUUCUGCCAAAUGCAUUGAGACGAGAGCCAAUAGCAGG
rnacentral:rRNA from 1 species